AGCCCAGGAGGUAGAGACGCCAAAAUGCAAAUUUGGAGACGCACCCACAAAGGGUGCCGGGGCUU
rnacentral:tRNA from 1 species